CCUGUUCUAGGUUACUUGGCUC
rnacentral:miRNA from 1 species